GGUUGACCUCGGAUCAGGUAGGAAGACCCGCUGAACUUAAGCAUAUCAAUAAGCGGAGGAAAAGAAACCAACAGGGAUUGCCCUAGUAACGGCGAGUGAAGCGGCAACAGCUCAAAUUUGAAAUCUGGCUUCGGCCCGAGUUGUAAUUUGCAGAGGAAGCUUUAGGCGCGGCACCAACUGAGUCCCCUGGAACGGGGCGCCACAGAGGGUGAGAGCCCCGUAUAGUUGGACGCCUAGCCUGUGUAAAGCUCCUUCGACGAGUCGAGUAGUUUGGGAAUGCUGCUCAAAAUGGGAGGUAAAUUUCUUCUAAAGCUAAAUACCGGCCAGAGACCGAUAGCGCACAAGUAGAGUGAUCGAAAGAUGAAAAGCACUUUGAAAAGAGGGUUAAAUAGCACGUGAAAUUGUUGAAAGGGAAGCGCUUGUGACCAGACUUGCGCCCGGCUGAUCAUCCGGUGUUCUCACCGGUGCACUCUGCCGGGCUCAGGCCAGCAUCGGUUCUCGCGGGGGGAUAAAGGCCCUGGGAACGUAGCUCCUCCGGGAGUGUUAUAGCCCAGGGCGUAAUGCCCUCGCGGGGACCGAGGUUCGCGCAUCUGCAAGGAUGCUGGCGUAAUGGUCAUCAGCGACCCGUCUUGAAACACGGACCAAGGAGUCAAGGUUUUGCGCGAGUGUUUGGGUGUAAAACCCGCACGCGUAAUGAAAGUGAACGUAGGUGAGAGCUUCGGCGCAUCAUCGACCGAUCCUGAUGUUUUCGGAUGGAUUUGAGUAGGAGCGUUAAGCCUUGGACCCGAAAGAUGGUGAACUAUGCUUGGAUAGGGUGAAGCCAGAGGAAACUCUGGUGGAGGCUCGCAGCGGUUCUGACGUGCAAAUCGAUCGUCAAAUCUGAGCAUGGGGGCGAAAGACUAAUCGAGC
rnacentral:rRNA from 1 species